UACGAAGGGGGCUAGCGAUGUUCGGAAUUACUGGGCGUAAAGCGCACGUAGGCGGAUUAGUAAGUCAGGGGUGAAAUCCCGGGGCUCAACCUCGGAACUGCCUUUGAUACUGCAGAUCUUGAGUUCGGAAGAGGUGAGUGGAAUUCCUAGUGUAGAGGUGAAAUUCGUAGAUAUUAGGAAGAACACCAGUGGCGAAGGCGGCUCACUGGUCCGGUACUGACGAUGAGGUGCGAAAGCGUGGGGAGCAAACAGG
rnacentral:rRNA from 1 species